rnacentral:lncRNA from 1 species
CUUGUAUAUAAAUAAAACUAAAACCAAAUCUUUUAAGGAAAAAUAAGCUACCCAAAAAAAAUGCUUGGUGGGUCCUUCAUGUCUCUAACAGGGAAAGGCACUGAUCUGAAAGGGUUUUUCUUUUUUCUUUUAAUUUUAUUUCAUGCACAUUUUUGUUGUGUCUGUGUGAGGGUCUUAGAUCCUCUUGCCCUGGAGUUAUGCACUUUUAUUUUGUGCGUUUGAGGGUGUUAGAUCCCCUGGAACUGGAGUUAGAGACAGUUGUAGGUGCCAGGAAUUGAGGAACUCAGGACCUCUGGAAGAGCAGCCAGUGCUCUUAACCACUGAGCCAUCUCUCCAGCCCUGAUUCAUGUUUUCUAAAUAGCAGAAUUACUGACAUGGCCUUGUGCCUGAGGGGACUCUAGGAACAGUGAGAACUUGGCUGUUGACAGGACCUCAGAAACAUUUCUAUAUAAGGACUGUUGUCAAUGCCAAGUUUUCUCUGAGGUAAGAUUUUAAUGUCUUGACUCUUACUUCAUGACAGUGGGUGGUUGGUCCUUCUUACUUUGUGGAAUAUUUGAUCAAAGAGUCACCAUGUACCCAGUCUCAGGACAGCUGUUCACUCCAGGCCUCCGACUCUGAG